CAAUAGCGUAUAUUUAAGUUGUUGCAGUUAAAAAGCUCGUAGUUGGAUUUCGGUUAAGAGCGACCGGUCCGCCGUUUGGUGUGCACUGGUUGGUUUUAACUUCCUGUAGAGGACGUGCUCUGGGUUUAACGACCUGGACUCGGAGUCUACGUGGUUACUUUGAAAAAAUUAGAGUGUUCAAAGCGGGCUUACGCUUGAAUAUUUCAGCAUGGAAUAACACUAUAGGACUCCUGUCCUAUUUCGUUGGUCUCGGGACGGGAGUAAUGAUUAAGAGGAACAGUUGGGGGCAUUCGUAUUUCAUUGUCAGAGGUGAAAUUCUUGGAUUUAUGAAAGACGAACUUCUGCGAAAGCAUUUGUCAAGGAUGUUUUCAUUA
rnacentral:rRNA from 1 species